UUUGCCAUUUUGUGGUGGGAUCCCAGCUAAUGCCGCAAUGAUUUCAUGUUGAGACAGAAUGAAAAGAGACCUUCAUUUCCCCAGUGACUUGUGUAAGGUCACAUCGAGUAGUGGGUGAUAAUCCAGGGAGUUCAUUCUGACAUCUUCUAAACUACAGCUUGGGAUCCAAGUUGCUGAGCUAUUCUUCUUUCUGCAGUAACAGAGGAAUACUGACAAGAUAAGUAUUGAAACAGUCCUAAAAAUAAAGCAUGGUGUCGUCCUCCCUGCUGAAGGGAAUGCAACGGUUAUUUGUGAACUUUUGAUGCUGGCAUUGGAAAAGCACAGACAAUCGCAUGUCAACCUCAGACCUCCAUCUUUGUCUGGAUAAGACACGUGGAUUACACAAAAAUAUUCAUCUGCCUCAUGUAAUGAGUGAUAAACUCCAUGGGAUUUCUAAAGGGUGUUGGAUGAUGAAAUCUCAGGUGCCCAGCAUUGAUUCUCAUCAGUGAGAGUUCAUCCUGUCGGCCAGGUCACAAGGGAAUUUGGAUAUAUAAAUGUAGAUAAGUCAAAUUAAGCUCCUAAAGAGCUGCCCAAGUAAGGGGACAGUUACUUCCUGGACAGAGAUGGGAUGUUCCUACAGGAGGAGCUGGAUCCCAGCAGAGAAUUGUAAACCUUCCUCCGAAGACAGGUGGUCUCCACACAAAUGUGGAGACACUGAUGGUGCCUUGUGGCUGUGACACCAGCCCACCAGUCAGUACCAGCUCUUCCUUUCCAUGACUACUUGCGACUUUACAGUGAGUGCGAAAAAUAAGAUGAGUGAAUUGGCACAGGUAAGAAGUCUGUCUCCAGUGAUAUCACACAGCACGCCUGGGUCUGCUGCUAACAAACCAGACCUUUGAUCUCCAGAAUAAGGUUGCUUUGCUAUUCAUUCAUAUUAGAGCCCUGGACGAGUACAUUUGAAUAUGGCUCAAAUGCUUCUGAUCUUACUUUGAUAGAAAAGGAUUAAAUGGCAUUAAAGCAAUGGUUUAAUGGUGACUGGUUUUUAGAGCCACAUGUCUAUGUACUUCCGUAUUUAAGUGUCAGUUAUUCUUCCAGAGCCCUGGGAUGGUAAUGUACAAUUUCCUAAGCGUACGCAGUUUUGGGAUACCACAAUAUUCUGUGUAGUUUGUUCAACUCUCUAUGUGCUGGGUAAGAGUGGGACAGAAUGAACUGGAUAAAUACUUUGAUUUUUAUUUUAUGGGCUCGUCCAUCUGAAACACACAACUUUUUCAGCUUGUGUUUUUGUGUGAAAAGUGUUAAACUGCUCUUGGAAAAGUUUAUUGAAUGCUUGAUUUUAACUUAUGGCAUGACAGACAGGGAUAUGUUUUCAGUAACUAGGAAACAACAUACUGAACAUAGGACUGGUGAAAAUCCUCCUGUAAAAAGAACAUAUUCACAGGAAUCUUACCAGCUCUGUGAGUGUGUAUGUAUUUAUAUUUCUUUUUUUCCUUCCCUAAAAUAAAAACCUGCUGGCAGAAUUUUAUAUUAAGAAAAAUAAUCUUGUUGUUUCUAAAGAGCAUAGACCUUUAGCCUCUUAUUUUGUGAAUUGUUAUGUUGAAUGGAUCAGAUGCUUUUGGAGGUAAAUCAUGUAUUUCAAUGUGUGUCAGACUUCAACACACUGUAAGUAAUCUGUUCUGAUCUACACUAUACGAGGAUUUGGCCAUUAAAAAAACAGUUCUAUAUGUUUUU